rnacentral:lncRNA from 1 species
GUUUCCAAGCGCGUGGAGGAAAGCGCAUUCUUUGUUAUUUAUCUCCGGAGGGAAAACGUUGGAUUAUUGACUGAAGCGCACCAGCUAAACUGAGUUUUUAUGGAUAUAAGGAAGGACUUUAUUGAACAAAAGGACCAUUUGGGACCAAAAGGACCAUUUGUAAUGAGACCUUUUGGAGUGCCAACAGAAGAAGAUCUUCAAAGAUCAAGGUGGGGACGGUUGCACCCCCUGUUUCUGAGACACUUCCAACCACCAACAUGCCCCCUCCUGAGUAUGAGGAGGAGGUUACCUCCUCCUCACACUGACUUCAUCAAGCUCGGACCUGAGCCCUAGGACCAUGCCUCAGGACUACCUGGCUUGAUGACUCCUUGCUGUCCCCAGUUCACCUGGCCGUGCUGCUGCUCCAGUUCCAACUGUUCUGCCUGCAGCUAUGGAACCCUGACCUGUUCACCGGACGUGCUACCUGUCCCAGACCUGUUGUCCCAGACCUGCUGGAACCCUGACCUAUUCACCGGACGUGCUACCUGUCCCAGACCUGCUGUUUUCAACUCUCUAGAGACAGCAGGAGCGGUGGAGAUACUCUCAAAGAUCGCCUAUGAAAAAGCCAACUGACACUUACUCUUGUGUUACUGACUUGUUGCACCCUCGACAACUACUAUGAUUAUUAUUAUUUGACAAUGCUGGUCAUUUAUGAACAUUUGAACAUCUAGGCCAUGUGCUGUUAUAAUCUCCACCCGGCACAGCCAGAAGAGGACUGGCCACCCCUCAUAGCCUGGUUCCUCUCUAGGUUUCUUCCUAGGUUUUGGCCUUUCUAGGGAGU